AUUGUUAUCUUUUGAAUGAAUAACAUUUUCUCCUUUAAUUAAUUAUCGGAGACUUUAAUGGAACUCUACAUGAAAUGUUUGAAAAAUAUAGACUAUGGAGUUAUUUCAGGGUCAUGUGAGAUUAAAAAAUAUGCCUGUGAUUAUGCUAAAGCUUCACUGAUAAUGGUUAUGUACUCUUAUUUGCAACUCAUAAUGAUUCUAGCUGAAGUAGAGCAUUCAGUUGGAUUCUCUUAGUGAAA
rnacentral:misc_RNA from 1 species